CCUACGGGUGGCAGCAGUGGGGAAUAUUCGGCAAUGAACGCAAGUCUGACCGAGCAACGCCGCGUGAAGGAAGAAGGCUUUCGGGUUGUAAACUUCUUUUAAGGGGGAAGAGCAGAAGACGGUACCCCUUGAAUAAGCCACGGCUAACUAUGUGCCAGCAGCAGCGGUAAUACGUAGGUGGCAAACGCUGUCCGGCUUUACUGGGGGUAAAGGGCGUGCAGCGGGGAAGACAAGGCAGGGGUGAACUCCCGCGGCUCAACCGCGGAACUGCAUUUGAAACUGUUUAUCUUGAGUAUCGGAGAGGUAAGCGGAAUUCCUAGUGUAGCGGUGAAAUGCGUAGAUAUUAGGAAGAACACCAGUGGCGAAGGCGGAUUACUGGACGACAACUGACGGUGAGGCGCGAAAGCGUGGGGAGCAAACAGGAUUAGAUACCCCUGUAGUC
rnacentral:rRNA from 1 species